rnacentral:tRNA from 1 species
GUUUGUAGCUCAGAGGUAGAGCGCUUGCUUUGCAUGUGUGAGGCACCGGGUUCGAUCCUCUGCAUCACA